GUGAAUUUACUUGGCAUAAAAUGAUUCUACAAGGACACAAUUGGGACCCAACGACAAUCAAAAGGACGUCACUAUUAAAUAAAUAAAAAAUAAGCUUCACCACUAAUAGUCGCUUUUUGUGAGCAAUGCUCAAAUAUUAUUCCCCAAAUUCUAUCAAUGCAAAACCACCAACCUUUGGGUUCGAAGGAAAAGAACCAAGUUCGGCGAAGCUGGCCAAACAGAGUCUUAUAAUCGAACCUAAACACUUGAAACGGAUUGGAUCUUCG
rnacentral:lncRNA from 1 species